UACGUAGGGGGCAGGCGUUGUCCGGAAUCAUUGGGCGUAAAGCGCGUGUAGGCGGUUCGGUAAGUCUGCUGUGAAAGUCCAGGGCUCAACCCUGGGAUGCCGGUGGAUACUGUCGGGCUAGAGUACGGAAGAGGCGAGUGGAAUUCCCGGUGUAGCGGUGAAAUGCGUAGAUAUGCGGAGGAACACCGAUGGCGAAGGCAAUCCCCUGGAACUGUACUGACGCUCAUGCACGAAAGCGUGGGGAGCAAACAGG
rnacentral:rRNA from 1 species